UGCCCAACAACUCCUAUCCCUACUUUCUCGCGGUACUGACCGGGGUACGAGUAACCUUAGCGAAGAUCGGGUAACCAACCCCCGGUGGGAACUUUGGUCGUAUGCUGACAGGGAAGG
rnacentral:ribozyme from 1 species